AUUGAACGCUGGCGGCAUGCCUUACACAUGCAAGUCGAACGGCAGCACGGGAGCUUGCUCCUGGUGGCGAGUGGCGAACGGGUGAGUAAUACAUCGGAACGUACCCUGAAGUGGGGGAUAACGUAGCGAAAGUUACGCUAAUACCGCAUAUUCUGUGAGCAGGAAAGAGGGGGAUCGCAAGACCUCUUGCUUUAGGAGCGGCCGAUGUCGGAUUAGCUAGUUGGUGAGGUAAAGGCUCACCAAGGCGACGAUCCGUAGCGGGUCUGAGAGGAUGAUCCGCCACACUGGGACUGAGACACGGCCCAGACUCCUACGGGAGGCAGCAGUGGGGAAUUUGGUACAAUGGGCGCAAGCCUGAUCCAGCCAUGCCGCGUGAGUGAAGAAGGCCUUCGGGUUGUAAAG
rnacentral:rRNA from 1 species